AGAGUUUGAUCCUGGCUCAGGAUGAACGCUGGCGGCGCGCCUAACACAUGCAAGUCGAACGGACGAUGAAGAGCUUGCUUUUCAAAGUUAGUGGCGGACGGGUGAGUAACGCGUGGGUAACCUGCCUCAUACAGGGGAAUAGCAGCUGGAAACGGCUGAUAAAACCGCAUAAGCGCACAGUGCCGCAUGGCACAGUGUGAAAAACUCCGGUGGUAUGAGAUGGACCCGCGUCUGAUUAGCUGGUUGGCGGGGUAACGGCCACCAAGGCGACGAUCAGUAGCCGGCCUGAGAGGGUGAUCGGCCACAUUGGGACUGAGACACGGCCCAAACGUCCUACGGGAGCA
rnacentral:rRNA from 1 species